rnacentral:rRNA from 1 species
UGUUCGUUAUUAAGGGCGCAUGGUGGAUGCCUUGGCAUGCUGAGCCGAUGAAGGACGUGUAAGGCUGCGUUAAGCCUCGGGGAGUUGUCAAUUGAGCGUUGAUCCGAGGAUGUCCGAAUGGGGAAACCUGGCUGCCGUUAUGGGUAGUGACCCUUCAGUGAAUUCAUAGCUGUUGUGGGGGUAACGCGGGGAAGUGAAACAUCUCAGUACCCGCAGGAAAAGAAAAUAAAUAAUGAUUCUGCUAGUAGUGGCGAACGAACGUGGAUGAGGCUAAACCGUAUGCAUGUGAUACCUGGUAGGGGUUGUGUGUGUGGUGUUGUGGGCCUUGAUGUUCAACGGCUACCACCGUUGUGCUGUGCGCAUUGCUGUUAGGUGAAGUGGUUUGGAAUGACCGACCGGAGUAGGUGAGAGUCCUGUAGCUGAAGAUAGUUUAAUGCCAUGGUUGUUGAGUUGCCCGAGUAGCAGCGGGCUCGUGAAAUCCGCUGUGAAUCUGCCGGGACCACCCGGUAAGCCUAAAUACUCAGUAUGACCGAUAGUGAAUAGUACCGUGAGGGAAUGGUGAAAAGUACCCCGGGAGGGGAGUGAAAUAGUUCCUGAAACCAUGUGCUUACAAUCCGUCAGAGCACCUUUUGUUGUGUGAUGGCGUGCCUUUUGAAGAAUGAGCCUGCGAGUCAGCGGCAUGUCGCGAGGUUAACCCGUGUGGGGUAGCCGUAGGGAAACCGAAUCCUAACUAGGGUG